GACGAACGCUGGCGGCGUGCUUAACACAUGCAAGUCGAACGGAAAGGCCCUGCUUUUGUGGGGUGCUCGAGUGGCGAACGGGUGAGUAACACGUGAGUAACCUGCCCUUGACUUUGGGAUAACUUCAGGAAACUGGGGCUAAUACCGGAUAGGAGCUCCUGCUGCAUGGUGGGGGGUGGAAAGUUUCGGCGGUUGGGGAUGGACUCGCGGCUGAUCAGCUUGUUGGUUGGGUAGUGGCUUACCAAGGCUUUGACGGGUAGCCGGCCUGAGAGGGUGACCGGCCACAUUGGGACUGAGAUACGGCCCAGACUCCUACGGGAGGCAGCAGUGGGGAAUAUUGCACAAUGGGCGGAAGCCUGAUGCAGCAACGCCGCGUGCGGGAUGACGGCCUUCGGGUUGUAAACCGCUUUCGCCUGUGACGAAGCGUGAGUGACGGUAAUGGGUAAAGAAGCACCGGCUAACUACGUG
rnacentral:rRNA from 1 species